rnacentral:rRNA from 1 species
AUUGAACGCUGGCGGCAUGCCUUACACAUGCAAGUCGAACGGCAGCACGGGAGCAAUCCUGGUGGCGAGUGGCGAACGGGUGAGUAAUAUAUCGGAACGUGCCCAGUCGUGGGGGAUAACGCAGCGAAAGCUGUGCUAAUACCGCAUACGAUCUAAGGAUGAAAGCGGGGGAUCGCAAGACCUCGCGCGAUUGGAGCGGCCGAUAUCAGAUUAGCUAGUUGGUGGGGUAAAGGCCCACCAAGGCGACGAUCUGUAGCUGGUCUGAGAGGACGACCAGCCACACUGGAACUGAGACACGGUCCAGACUCCUACGGGAGGCAGCAGUGGGGAAUUUUGGACAAUGGGCGCAAGCCUGAUCCAGCAAUGCCGCGUGCAGGAUGAAGACCUUCGGGUUGUAAACUGCUUUUGUACGGAACGAAACGGUGAGCUCUAAUACAGUUUGCUAAUGACGGUACCGUAAGAAUAAGCACCGGCUAACUACGUGCCAGCAGCCGCAGUAA